AGGACCUCGCCUGAGUUUACGUAUUGAGCCUGAAGAAGGUAGCCUUGCGGGGGGCACAUGGAUCACAGUCAUUUUUGAUGGUUUGGAGUCAGAUGUCCUUUAUCCCACCAAUGGGUCUCAGCUGGAGAUACAUCUGGUGAACGUGAUGGUGCCUGCACUGCCUAGUGUCCCCUGUGAUGUCUCUCCUGUCUUCUUGGAUUUGCCUGUGGUGACGUGCCGGACCAGAUCUCUGCUGUCUGAAGCACACGAGGGUCUGUACUCCCUGGAAUUACACUCUGGGGGACAGGUGGUAGGCAGCCCAAGUCCAGG